rnacentral:rRNA from 1 species
AGUGAACGCUGGCGGUAGGCCUAACACAUGCAAGUCGAACGGCAGCACAGAGGAGCUUGCUCCUUGGGUGGCGAGUGGCGGACGGGUGAGGAAUACAUCGGAAUCUACUCUGUCGUGGGGGAUAACGUAGGGAAACUUACGCUAAUACCGCAUACGACCUACGGGUGAAAGCAGGGGACCUUCGGGCCUUGCGCGAUUGAAUGAGCCGAUGUCGGAUUAGCUAGUUGGCGGGGGAAAGGCCCACCAAGGCGACGAUCCGUAGCUGGUCUGAGAUGAUGAUCAGCCACACUGUAACUGAGACACGGUCCAGACUCCUACGGGAGGCAGCAAUGGGGAAUAUUGGACAAUGGGCGCAAGCUUGAUCCAGCCAUACCGCGUGGGUGAAGAAGGCCUUCGGGUUGUAAAGCCCUUUUGUUGGGAAAGAAAUCCAGCUGGCUAAUACCCGGUUGGGAUGACGGUACCCAAAGAAUAAGCACCGGCUAACUUCGUGCCAGCAGCCGCGGUAA